rnacentral:rRNA from 1 species
UACGUAGGGGGCUAGCGUUGUCCGGAAUCAUUGGGCGUAAAGAGCGCGUGGGCGGCCCGGUAAGUCUGCUGUAAAAGUCAAAGGCUUAACCUUUGAAAGUCAGUGGAUACUGCCGGGCUAGAGUCCGGAAGAGGCGAGUGGAACUCCUGGUGUAGCGGUGGAAUGCGCAGAUAUCAGGAAGAACACCAACGGCGAAGGCAGCUCGCUGGGACGGAACUGACGCUGAGGCGCGAAAGCGUGGGGAGCAAACAGG